rnacentral:lncRNA from 1 species
UCUGCUACAACUACAUUUUCACCCACCUUUGGUAUACCUUUAUGAAGAGCAUCGUAAAAUCCAUGUACAUACCUUGUGGAAAAAGGAAAUUCAUGGACAAUAUGGCAGAAAAGAGUCUUUGUUUAAGAGAGUAAGGUAAUUUGAAACCAUUUUGCAUAAGCUUGACCAUGAAAGUUGAACUGCAUGCUGCUAUAUAGACAAAAACGACUCAAAUGUUCAACAACAGAGGAUCCAAUCUACCAACUCAGAUGUACCUUUGAAAACCUGCCAACUUGGCUUGGAAGACCUACUACCUGUUACACGAGACGAUGACAUCAAAACAAUGCAAUAUAUAAAAAUUAAAUUGGUGAUGCAACUAGAUUCGUAGUAAGAAAGUCUAGUGAGUGUAUCUUUAUUGGUGUCCCAGACUUCAUUAAAACAACACAUGCUAGAAAUUUCUCUUUUAAUUCUUAUUAAUGCUGAGGUUGGGAGUAUGAGAAAGUUAUCUCUACCUACCUUCCGUCCAUGAAGGCAUGCCUCAUCACUGCCCACCAGUACCCUGGCAGCCCAUCUAUUAUUGACAAAAAUAUUUUUGUUAGUAUAUACACAAAUACUUUUUGGUUCAAUAUAUACACAAAUAACAACAACAACAACAACAAACCCAGUGUAUUCCCACUUAGUGGGGUCUGGGGGAGUAAGAUGUACGCAGUCCAUACCUCUACCUCUGAUAAAGUAGAAAGGCUGUUUCCGAAAGACCCCCGGCUCAAGUCACGAGAUAUCACACAAACACAUAGUACAGCACAGAAGCAGAUGACAUAACAUAGAUACGGCACCCAUAAGGAACAACACAAAACGAAAAAAAAAUAAAAAAUUA